CCUACGGGAGGCAGCAGUGGGGGAUAUUGCACAAUGGGGGGAACCCUGAUGCAGCGACGCCGCGUGGGUGAAGAAGCGCCUCGGCGCGUAAAGCUCUGUCAGCAGGGAAGAAAAUGAUGGUACCUGAAGAAGAAGCCCCGACUAACUACGUGCCAGCAGCCGCGGGAAUACGUAGGGGGCAAGCGUUAUCCGGAUUUACUGGGUGUAAGGGGGGCGCAGACGGCGAUGCAAGCAAGGAGUGAAAGCCCGGGGCCCAACCCCGGGACGGCUCUUGGAACUGCGUGGCUGGAGUGCAGGAGGGGCAGGCGGAAUUCCUGGUGUAGCGGUGAAAUGCGUAGAUAGCAGGAGGAACACCAGUGGCGAAGGCGGCCUGCUGGACUGCAACUGACGUUGAGGCCCGAAAGCGUGGGGAGCAAACAGGAUUAGAUACCCGUGUAGUC
rnacentral:rRNA from 1 species